AAGAGGUAAAUCUCAAAAUGUCAGUGACUAAACCAAAUAAAAAUCUUUUUAAUUUCCCUAUAUUCUAAGGUAUGUUCCAGGUUGAAUGGCUCUCCUUCAAGUGGGCUCCUUCUAUCUUGUGGCUUCAUUUUCUUCGGGGGAAUCUCCCAGUGCCAAUCUCUGAAAAGGCUGCAAGACUCUGAAACAGAUCUCCCUAGAAAUCCCACCUGGAAGGACAGUAAGGUAUGCUAUUUGUCCCUUCCUGAAUCUGUUUUCUAUCUGUGCUUCAGCCAUCUAGGUAUUGUACCUCUUGCUUCAUAGUGUCCUGAUUUGUAUGUUUGUCCUUUCUCCAACCCCUAUCCAAAUAGCCUCAGGGCGUUCUGGAAGCACCAUGUCAUGUUAAAGUGUAAAUAAUGUCCACAGCGAUUUCCCCUUAAAUUUAUUUCCUUCAGUGAAUACAUGCCCAAGUAAUAGCAGUUUAAAAAAUAUGGAAAAGUGAAGUAAGAGAUAUUAUAUGGUAUUGUUCUGGAGAUGAUGUCAAACUAAGGAUUCUUUUCAGU
rnacentral:lncRNA from 1 species